rnacentral:lncRNA from 10 species
UGGAGCCUGGAUACAGUGAUGCCAUCAGGUGUGGUAUGUGAUCACAGGCAACUCAGGAACAGCUCUCCAGCCCCAGGACUUCUGCUGGAACCGCUGGGAGUUGGAAGCUUUCUUCCCACUGAGGGGCAAACCUUCUAGGUAUCUGAAGAUGUUGAAGACCAUUUCCUGGAACAGCAGAGGUAAAUGCCCAGAGGAUGAGAACACAUAGCCAUUAGGAGAGCCUGAAAGUUCAGUGUGACUGAAAGAUGAAGUUCAAGAGAAGGGACAAACUGCAAAACACAAGCUGGAGAGUUUUAGAGAGACUGUGGAAUGGAAUGACUCUCCAGAGCUGCAGAUUGAAGGCAUAUUUUCAUCUGACUUUGAUCUCAAUGGCGGGAACACCUUCAUGGCCCCUUUAUAGCUGGAUGAUCAUUUCCUGUUCUCUCCACCAUGGCCACCUGGUCCAAGCCACCAUCUUCAUGCACCUGGAUACCUGCCAUAACCUCAGCUGACCUUUCCUGUGUCCAUUCUUGUUCCUUUGGGCCCAGUCUCCUCGCUCAUAGCAGCAGAAUGAGUCUAUUAAAAAGUGAAACAAUU